GCCUGAUUAGCUCAGCUGGUUAGAGCGUCGUACUAAUAUCUCGCAUCCGCAAGAUACCAAAGUCAUGCGAAGGUCAACAGUUCAAUCCUGUUAUUGGGCA